CCUACGGGGGGCAGCAGUGGGGAAUCUUCGGCAAUGGGCGCAAGCCUGACCCAGCAAUGCCGCGUGAAGGAAGAAGGCUCUCGGGUUGUAAACUUCUUUGACAGGGGAAGAGCAGAAGACGGUACCCUGCAAGAAAGCUCCGGCUAACUACGUGCCAGCAGCCGCGGUACUACGUAGGGAGCAAGCGUUGUCCGGAAUUACUGGGUGAAAAGGGAGGGUAGGCGGGAGGAUAAGUUGACUGUGAAAUCUAGGGGCUCAACCCAUAGCUGCGUUCAAAACUGUUCUUCUUGAGGGAAGUAGAGGCAGGCGGAAUUCCUAGUGUAGCGGUGAAAUGCGUAGAUAUUAGGAGGAACACCAGUGGCGAAGGCGACCUGCUGGGCUUUUCCUGACGCUGAGGCUCGAAAGCGUGGGUAGCAAACAGGAUUAGAUACCCGUGUAGUC
rnacentral:rRNA from 1 species